GAAGCGGGCCAGACCGCCGCUGGUGCAAGGCCCGAAAGGGCGCACUGGAGGAAGGUCCGGACUGCACAGGGCAGCGUAGCAGCUAACGGCUGCCCACCGUGAGGUGAGGAUCAGAGCAACAGAGACGAGCCGAUUCAGUUCGGGUGAAACGGGCAAUCUCUACGCGCAGCAACACCAAAUAGGCCAGCGUUGAUGUGGCUCCGCGGAGCUGGCGGGUAGGUGGCACCGAGCCGUGCAGUGAUGCACGGCCCAGAGGAAUGGCGGUCACG
rnacentral:RNase_P_RNA from 1 species